rnacentral:rRNA from 1 species
AUUCGCCUACGGGAGGCAGCAGUGAGGAAUAUUGGUCAAUGGACGCAAGUCUGAACCAGCCACGGCGCGUGCAGGAUGACGGCCCUCCGGGUUGUAACCUGCUUUUAGUUGGGAAUAAAAGGGGGCUCGUGAGCCCCGUAUUGUAUGUACCAUCAGAAAAAGGACCGGCUAAUUCCGUGCCAGCAGCCGAGGUAAUACGGAAGGUCCGGGCGUUAUCCGGAUUUAUUGGGUUUAAAGGGAGCGUAGGCCGACUUUUAAGUC